rnacentral:rRNA from 1 species
AUUGAACGCUGGCGGCAGGCCUAACACAUGCAAGUCGAACGGUAACAGGAAACAGCCUGCUGUUUCGCUGACGAGUGGCGGACGGGUGAGUAAUGUCUGGGAAACUGCCUGAUGGAGGGGGAUAACUACUGGAAACGGUAGCUAAUACCGCAUAACGUCGCAAGACCAAAGAGGGGGACCUUCGGGCCUCUUGCCAUCGGAUGUGCCCAGAUGGGAUUAGCUAGUAGGUGGGGUAACGGCUCACCUAGGCGACGAUCCCUAGCUGGUCUGAGAGGAGGACCAGCCACACUGGAACUGAGACACGGUCCAGACUCCUACGGGAGGCAGCAGUGGGAAAUAUUGCACAAUGGGCGCAAGCCUGAUGCAGCCAUGUCGCGUGUAUGAAGAAGGCCUUCGGGUUGUAAAGUACUUUCAGCGGGGAGGAAGGGAGUAAAGUUAAUACCUUUGCUCAUUGACGUUACCCGCAGAAGAAGCACCGGCUAACUCCGUGCCAGCCGCCGCCGUAA